GACAGAGGGGGCAAGCGUUGCUCGGAAUCACUGGGCGUAAAGGGCGCGUAGGCGGGAUGCAAGUCGGUCGUGAAAUCCUUCGGCUCAACCGAAGAACGUCGGCCGAUACUGCCGUUCUUGAGGGAUGCAGAGGAGAUUGGAAUUCCCGGUGUAGCGGUGAAAUGUGUAGAGAUCGGGAGGAACACCGGUGGCGAAGGCGGGGUCUCUGGGCAUCUCCUGACGCUGAGGCGCGAAAGCGUGGGGAGCAAACGGGG
rnacentral:rRNA from 1 species